rnacentral:rRNA from 1 species
GUAACGCGUGGGUAACCUGCCCUGUACAGGGGGAUAACAGCUGGAAACGGCUGCUAAUACCGCAUAAGCGCACGAGGAGACAUCUCCUUGUGUGAAAAACUCCGGUGGUACAGGAUGGGCCCGCGUCUGAUUAGCUGGUUGGCAGGGUAACGGCCUACCAAGGCAACGAUCAGUAGCCGGUCUGAGAGGAUGAACGGCCACAUUGGAACUGAGACACGGUCCAAACUCCUACGGGAGGCAGCAUG